rnacentral:rRNA from 1 species
CCUUUGACGUUAGCGGCGGACGGGUGAGUAACACGUGGGUAACCUACCUAUAAGACUGGGAUAACUUCGGGAAACCGGAGCUAAUACCGGAUAAUAUUCGAACCGCAUGGUUCGAUAGUGAAAGGUGGUUUUGCUAUCACUUAUAGAUGGACCCGCGCCGUAUUAGCUAGUUGGUAAGGUAACGGCUCACCAAGGCGACGAUACGUAGCCGACCUGAGAGGGUGAUCGGCCACACUGGAACUGAGACACGGUCCAGACUCCUACGGGAGGCAGCAGAG